AUUGAACGCUGGCGGCAGGCCUAACACAUGCAAGUCGAGCGGAUGACGGGAGCUUGCUCCUGGAUUCAGCGGCGGACGGGUGAGUAAUGCUUAGGAAUCUGCCUAUUAGUGGGGGACAACAUUCCGAAAGGAAUGCUAAUACCGCAUACGUCCUACGGGAGAAAGCAGGGGAUCUUCGGACCUUGCGCUAAUAGAUGAGCCUAAGUCGGAUUAGCUAGUUGGUGGGGUAAAGGCCUACCAAGGCGACGAUCUGUAGCGGGUCUGAGAGGAUGAUCCGCCACACUGGGACUGAGACACGGCCCAGACUCCUACGGGAGGCAGCAGUGGGGAAUAUUGGACAAUGGGGGGAACCCUGAUCCAGCCAUGCCGCGUGUGUGAAGAAGGCCUUAUGGUUGUAAAGCACUUUAAGCGAGGAGGAGGCUACUGAGACUAAUACUCUUGGAUAGUGGACGUUACUCGCAGAAUAAGCACCGGCUAACUCUGUGCCAGCCGCCGCCGUAAAAC
rnacentral:rRNA from 1 species